GGAUGCACACAAGGACCUGGACAGCACUGUGAACUGUGAGUAAGGACCCAGAGACUCCAACUCUGGCUUCAGCUGCAUAGGGGAGGAAGCACGGUCAGGGGGUAAGACAGGGCUUAGAGACAAGGUGCUCUGGGGUGCUGGCUUGAAGACAGAUAGACCUAAGUUCUCUCCUCUCUUCUGCUGAGUUCCAGGGCCAUGGGGUUGGCACAAAGGAGCUUGGCACUGGGCUGCAUGGCCAUCAUGUUGGUUCUACAAGUGACCAUGGCAGAGUACCCCAGCUGGAUGUUGAAUGGCAAGGCCCAGGUGUUCGCAGACCUGAGCGCCCAGGAGAUGGAGGCUGUGCACAGCUUCCUGAUGAGCAGGACAGAGCUGGAGCUGCAGCCCUCAGGCACACAGGCUUUGGACAAGAAUUCUGUGUUCCUCAUUGAGACUCUGCUGCCCAACAAGAAGGAGGUCUUAGAGUUUCUGAAUAAAGGCACCAGACCUCCUGUGCGGGAAGCCCGUGUCAUCAUUUUCUUUAGUGCCCAGGAGCACCCCAAUGUCACCGAGUUUGCUGUAGGGCCCCUGCCACAGCCCAUCUACAUGAGAGAACUCUUCCCCAGGCCAGAGAAACAUCGAUCCUGGGCAUCCAGACCCAUGUCCAAAGCAGAACAAAGUCUUCUCUACCACAAAAUCAAGGAGGCCACCACACCCUUACAGGGGUUUUUCCUUGACACUACUGGCUUCUCACUAGAGGACUGCGAUGGCCAAUGUCUGACCUUCACCCAUGUGGCCCCCCACAGUGUGGAGUCUAGACAUCGGGCCACCUGGUUCCUCUUGCAGCGCAUUGUAAAAGAUCGCCUGCUGCAACCCACGGGACUGGAGAUCCUUGUAGAUCAUGGGAGCACAGAUGUCCGGGACUGGAGAGUAGAGCAGGUCUGGUAUAAUGGGAAGCUCUACAACAGCCCAGAGGAACUGGCUCAGAAAUACACAGACGGAGAAGUGGACACGGUGGUCCUCAAGGACCUGCGUCCCAAGAACACGGAACCGCCACAAAUCUUUAACAAGCCUAGUGGGAAAUUCCCAGCGUCCCCCAGAAAAUCUGGCCGCCAUGUGGAACAAGCCAAUGGUUCCAGAUACCACCUAGAGGGUAACACUGUGAUCUACAAAGACUGGAGUUUCUCCUUCCAGUUUCGACCCUCUUCUGGGCUGCAGAUAUUGAAUGUGCACUUCGGGAAUGAGUAUAUAGCUUAUGAGAUCAGUGUGCAGGGCGCUAUGGCUGUACAUAGAGAAAAAACACCUGCAGGAGAACUGACCAAAACCAUGGAUCUAGGCUGGAGCCUGGGCAGUGUAACUCAUGAGUUAGCCCCUGGCAUCAACUGUCCAGAGACAGCCACCUUCCUAGACGUCAUCCACUACUAUGGCACUGAUGGGCCUGUCCAUUAUCCGCGAGCCCUCUGCAUCUUUGAGAUACCCACAGGGGUGCCUGUUAGGCCCACCUUUAACAACGACUCUGCAGGCAAAAUCAACUUCUUUUCAGAUGUGAUGGGACACAAACUUGUGCUACGGGCAACCUCAGCUCUCUACAAUUUUGAUUACAUCUGGGACUUCAUCUUCUAUACUACGGGCACAAUCUCAGCCAAGAUGCAUGCCACAGGUUAUGUCCACACCACUGUCUAUACCCGUGAAGGGUUGAGAGAAACCCACCUGCUGACUCACCAGCUUGGCCACAGCCACACCCACCUUGUGCAUUACCGCAUUGACCUGGAUGUGGCAGGCACCAACAACAGCUUCCACACACUGCAGGCCAAGCAGAAAAACACCACCAACUCCAGCAGCCCAAGACGCCUAGUACAGGACAUGAUGGAGAAGACACAGUAUUCCCAGGAACGCCAGGCUACCUUCUCCUUCGGACAGACUCUGCCUUCAUUCCUGCUCUUUAGCAGCCCCAAAAAGGACAUCUGGGGAUACCGGCGAAGCUACCGCUUAAAGAUCUACUCCACAUCUGAGCAGAGGCUGACCCCCGAAACCCAAGAGGACGUGGCUUUCAGCUGGGCCCGGUGAGGAGUACGCCCUGGCAGUGAGCAGACACUCAGACUCUGAGCAGUACAGCACCAGCAUCUACAACCAGAAUCACCCCUGGGAUCCCCCUGUGGUCUUUGAGAAUUUCCUUCAGGACAAUGAGAAUAUUGAAGACCAGGAUUUGGUGGCCUGGGUGACAGUAGGCUUCUCUCAUGGGCCCCACUCUGAAGUUGCUCCAUAUAUGGCCUCGUCUAGGAACCUCGUAGGCUUUUUGCUCCUGCCUUUCAACUUCUUCUAUAUCACUGAAAAACACCCAGGUACAGGUGCCACAGAUGUAUCAGACACUGGAUCCCUGGGGGCAGGGUCUGCCUGAUGCCUCCACUAUUCAACUUCAACGGGACCUACAACCCUGUGUCAAGAGUCCAGCCCCAGCUCUUACUCAACAGCCCCAUACCCCACAAGGACAUUCAAUAAAUACUGACAUUCUU